AUCUCAUGGUUAGGAUAUUUCAAGAGUUUUUCCUUGAAUCUUUCCCAUGCUUCAUACCACGGUUCUUCAUGGAAUUGGCGAAAAUUAAUGAUUUAAUCUCGCAAUU
rfam:Capsicum annuum cultivar Zunla-1 chromosome 11, whole genome shotgun sequence